AAAAUAAAAAUUAAUAAUGGGGGUUAUUAAUAAAAAAAAUUUUAUUGUGUUAAGUUUUAAGUAGGGUUAUUUGAAAAAAUUUAAUAUUUAUAGUUAAUUAGUAUUGUGAAAGAAUUUUGAAAAUAUAUGAAAAUAAAUUUAUUAAAAAGUAAUUUUAAUUUAAUGUAUCUUGUGUAUCAGAGUUUAUUAAUAAAAUAAUUAUUUUUAAUUUUUUUCGAAUUUAAAAGAGAUAAUUAUUUAUUAAAGUUAUUGUUGCAUAAAUAUUUUAAAUAAUUAAUUUGAAAUGAGAUGUUAAUCGUUUUUAAAUAUAUCUAAUUUUUUUAGAAAAAAAUUUAAUUUUAAAUUAAUUUAAUAAUUGAUUUAUUUUUUUUUUAUAAUUUUAUUAUUAAAUUAAUUUUAUAUUUUAAGGGAUAAGCUUUAAAUUAAAUUUUUAUAAUUUUUUAUAUUUUUAAUUAAAAUUUUUAUUAUUUAUAUUGUAAGUAAAUUUUAUUUUAUUAUAAAUAAUUUUAUAUUUAUUUAAAAUUUAAUUUAAAUUUAAUUUUUUAUAAAAAAAAAAUUUUUUUAAUUUAAUAAAAUAUGAUAUAAUGAUAAAAUUAGUAUAUAAAUUUAAUUUAAUAAAAUAUUAUUUAUAUUUAUUAAAUUUAAGGAAUUCGGCAAAAUUUUAUGUCCACUUGUUUAUCAAAAACAUGUCUUUUUGAUUUUAAUUUAAAGUUUAAUCUGCCCACUGAUGAAAAUUAAAGGGCUGCAGUAUUUUGACUGUACAAAGGUAGCAUAAUCAUUAGUCUUUUAAAUGGUGACUUGUAUGAAUGAUUGGAUGAGAUAUAAGCUGUCUUAAAUUUAUUUGAUAGAAUUUAAUUUUUUAAUUAAAAAGUUAAAAUAUAUUAAAAAGACGAGAAGACCCUAUAGAGUUUUAUAAGUAUAAUUAAAUUAAGAAUAUUUAUAAAAUUAAAAUUAUUUAAAAUUUGUUUAUUUAUUUGAUUGGGGUGAUUAAAAAAUUUAAUUAACUUUUUUUAAUUUUUAACAUAGAUAAAUGAUUUAAUGGAUCCAAUUUUAUUGAUUGAAAGAAAAAAUUACCUUAGGGAUAACAGCGUAAUUUUUUUUUUUAGUUCAUAUAAGAAAAAGAGUUUGCGACCUCGAUGUUGGAUUAAGAUGAAAUUUAAAUGUAAAAGUUUGAGUGUUUUGAUCUGUUCGAUCAUUAAAAUCUUACAUGAUCUGAGUUCAAACCGGUGUAAGCCAGGUUGGUUUCUAUCUUUUAUUAAAAAUAAUAUUUUAGUACGAAAGGAUCGAGUAUUAAAAUUAAAUUUAAUAUUUAGAAUAUUAUUAAAAUUUAUUUAAAAUUAAUAAAAUUAUAAAAUUUGUUUAGUUUAAUAUAAUAAUGAAUGAUAAUGGGAUUUUUAUUGUUAAUAAUAAAAAUUUAUUUAAUUAAUUUUAAUUUAUAGUAUAUUUAAUUUAUUAGUAU
rnacentral:rRNA from 1 species